rnacentral:rRNA from 1 species
GACGAACCGUGCAAACGUUGUUCGGAAUCACUGGGCUUAAAGGGCGCGUAGGCGGGCCAGCCAGUCUGUGGUGAAAGCCUCCAGCUUAACUGGAGAAGUGCCGUGGAUACUGCUGGCCUCGAGGAGGAUAGGGGCAUCUGGAACGGUCGGUGGAGCGGUGAAAUGCGUUGAUAUCGACCGGAACUCCGGUGGCGAAGGCGAGGUGCUGGGUCCUUUCUGACGCUGAUGCGCGAAAGCGUGGGGAGCAAACGGG